GACGAACGCUGGCGGUGUGCUUAACACAUGCAAGUCGAGCGAGAACCACAGGAGGGGUAACCCUUCUGUGGGGAGAGCGGCGAACGGGUGAGUAACACGUGGGCAACCUGCCCCAGACACUGGGAUAACCCCGGGAAACCGGGGCUAAUACCGGAUACUCUCGGACCACCACAUGGCGGACCGAGGAAAGCUCCGGCGGUCUGGGAUGGGCCCGCGGCCUAUCAGCUAGUUGGUGGGGUAACGGCCCACCAAGGCUUCGACGGGUAGCUGGCGUGAGAGCGUGGCCAGCCACACUGGGACUGAGACACGGCCCAGACUCCUACGGGAGGCAGCAGUGGGGAAUCUUGCGCAAUGGGCGAAAGCCUGACGCAGCGACACCGCGUGAGGGAUGAAGGCCCUCGGGUUGUAAACCUCUUUCGGCAGGGACGAAGCGAAAGUGACGGUACCUGCAGAAGAAGCCCCGGCUAACUACGUGCCAGCAGCCGCCGUAAUAC
rnacentral:rRNA from 1 species